UAUUCUGCCCCAUGGGGAAGGAUGAGAAGCUUCGACUAAGGUUCGACUCGAGCGAAGCGAGAGAACGUUGCCGCAGGCAACG
rnacentral:sRNA from 2 species